rnacentral:rRNA from 1 species
GGCCACCUGGGAAGUACGGCGCAAGGCUGAAACUUAAAGGAAUUGGCGGGGGAGUACCGCGACCGGUGGAGCCUGCGGUUUAAUUGGAUACAACGCCGGGAAUCUUACCGGAGGGGACAGCAGUAUGAAGGCCAGCUAAAGACCUUGCCAGAUCAGCUGAGAGGAGGUGCAUGGCCGUCGCCAGUUCGUACCGUGAGGCAUCCUGUUUAGUCAGGCAACGAUCGAGACCCGCAGUCUUAUUUGCCAGCAUGCCCUUUGGGGUGUAUGGGUACAAUAAGACGACCGCCAGCGCUAAGCUGGAGGAAGGAGCGGGCUACGGUAGGUCAGCAUGCCCCGAAUCCUCCGGGAUACACGCGGGCUACAAUGGUCAGGACAAAAGGUACCGACCUCGAAAGAGUGAGGUAAUCCACAAACCUGAUCUCAGUCCGGAUCGAAGGCUGCAACUCGCCUUCGUGAAGAUGGAAUCGGUAGUAAUCGUGACUCAAAAUGUCACGGUGAAUAUGUCCCU